UACAGAGGUCCCAAGCGUUGUUCGGAUUCACUGGGCGUAAAGGGUGCGUAGGCGGCCGGGUAAGUCUGAUGUGAAAUCCCGCAGCUCAACUGCGGAACUGCAUCGGAUACUCUCCGGCUAGAGGAAUGGAGGGGAGGCUGGAAUUCUCGGUGUAGCAGUGAAAUGCGUAGAUAUCGAGAGGAACACCAGUGGCGAAGGCGAGUCUCUGGACAUUUCCUAACGCUGAGGCACGAAAGCCAGGGGAGCAAACGGG
rnacentral:rRNA from 1 species